CUCCUCACACUGAGCAGUUCCUCCUCACACUGAGCAGUUCCUCCUCACACUGAGCAGUUCCUCCUCACACUGAGCAGUUCCUCCUCACACUGAGCAGAGUCCCACCUCACACUGAGCAGUUCCUCCUCCUGCCUUUUCCCAUCUCCUGCUCAGGGGCUCAGGGAUGGCACCGGGUCAGAGCAGCUCCAGCAUCACCCACAGCUCUGGACAGAAAAGAAAAAAACCUAAACUAAACAAAACAAAAGACAAAAACCAGGAAGUUCAAAUGUGGACCAAGAACAAAAGACUGUGAGGUGUCUGUUUAGUGGAUAAGUAAAGCAUGAGUAAGGAAUCA
rnacentral:lncRNA from 12 species